rnacentral:piRNA from 1 species
UAAUAAAUCUGUUUAGACUUUUGGCCA